rnacentral:lncRNA from 1 species
UUUACUUUUUAUUUUUUUUUUUCUGAGACAAAGUCUUGCUCUGUUGGCCAGUCUGGAGUUCAGUGACAUGAUGAUGGCUGACUGCAGCCUCAACCUCCUAGGCUUAAGAUAUACUCCCUUGUCAGCCUCCUGAGUAGCUGGGACUACAAGCACAUGUCACCAUGCCCAGCUAAUUUUUUUUUUUUGUAUUUUUUGUAGAGAUGGGGGUCUCAUCAUGUUGCCCAGGCUGGCCUCUAAUUCCUGGGCAGAAGUGAUCUGCACACCUUGGCCUCUGAAAGUGCCAGGAUUAUAGAUGUGAACCAUUGCACCUGGCCAACCUAAUUUUGUUUACUCAAGCAUUCCUUUGUACUGACUUCAGGUCUUUAGACAAUAGUUUAACUCUCUCAGUCAACUGUUGACUAAGAAAUCCCUAAAACCCACCUAUGACUUGUAAGCCCCCACUGAAACGUCCGGCCUUUUCAGGCCCAACGAAUGUUUACCUUACAUGUAUUAGUUUAUGUCUUUGACAGGAACUCCUAUCUCCCUUAAAUGUGUGAAACCAAACUGUAACUCGGCUGCCUUGGAACUACUUACUCAAGACUUCUUGGUUUUGUAUUUUUCUCUGGGCCACAAUCACUCAUAUUGGCUUAGAGUAAACCUUUUAAAAAUAUUUUAUAGAGUUUGGUUUUCCAUUAACAAAAUUAUGAAAAACGAAGGCCUUUAUUGUUUCAUAACAAAAAUGACUGCUGCAAAUUGCCAACAGUCAUUUCUGUUAUUUCCUUCGGUUUCCUCUAUAAUUUACGUGCAAAUGAACUAUCCCUUAAUGCAUGUUGACCUCAGUAUCUUUUAGUAGAUUCUUGUCCAUUGUGUCAGGGCUUUGACAAAAUGAAGGAUGUAUUUUUUUGGUCCAGUAGGACAUCUUCCUUCUGGCCUUUCUUUUUCCAGGAAGACUCCAUUCUACUGAGAGGACCCAGCUGUAGCCUUGAUUGAGGCAUUCAUUUUACAGCUGGGGUAAGCUUUCUCUGAAAUGCAGCUGGAAUAGGCAUUUCAAAGGCCCACAGUGUUAUGCAAAUGCUUCUAUUCUCCAUGUGGGCGGCAGAAACCCAGCCAAGUGCCCAGACACACAGGCUGUCAGAAUGGAAGAGGAAAUGCAUUGCUCAAGACUAUCAUCAUUUUUCUGUUCAUCUUUUA